UGGGGAAUCUUGCGCAAUGGCCGAAAGGCUGACGCAGCGACGCCGUGUGCGGGAGGACGCCUUUCGGGGUGUAAACCGCUGUCAGGGGGGACGAAGGUCAGCGGAAGCUGACGUGACGGUACCUCCAGAGGAAGCACCGGCUAACUCCGUGCCAGCAGCCGCGGUAAUACGGAGGGUGCGAGCGUUGUCCGGAAUCAUUGGGCGUAAAGCGCACGUAGGCGGUGGGGGGUAAGUCUUGUGGUGAAAGGCCGGGGCUCAACCCCGGGCAGGCCCGAGAGACUGCCCCCGCUGGAGACAGGCAGAGGCCAGCGGAAUUCCGGGUGUAGCGGUGGAAUGCGUAGAGAUCCGGAAGAACACCGGAGGCGAAGGCGGCUGGCUGGGCCUGAUCUGACGCUGAGGUGCGAAAGCGUGGGGAGCGAACAGGAUUAGAUACCCUGGUAGUCCACGCCGUAAACGAUGGACACUAGAUGCUGGGGGGAUCGACCCUCUCGGUGUCGG
rnacentral:rRNA from 1 species